rnacentral:rRNA from 1 species
ACUCCUACGGGAGGCAGCAGUGGGGAAUAUUGGUCAAUGGUCGCAAGACUGAACCAGCCAUGCCGCGUGCAGGAAGACGGUCCUAUGGAUUGUAAACUGCUUUUAUACAGGAAGAAACCCUCCCACGUGUGGGAGCUUGACGGUACUGUAGGGAUAAGGAUCGGCUAACUCCGUGCCAGCAGCCGCGGUAAUACGGAGGAUCCAAGCGUUAUCCGGAAUCAUUGGGUUUAAAGGGUCCGUAGGCGGCCUUAUAAGUCAGUGGUGAAAGCCCAUCGCUCAACGAUGGAACUGCCAUUGAUACUGUAAGGCUUGAAUUAUUGUGAAGUAACUAGAAUAUGUAGUGUAGCGGUGAAAUGCUUAGAUAUUACAUGGAAUACCAAUUGCGAAGGCAGGUUACUAACAAUGGAUUGACGCUGAUGGACGAAAGCGUGGGGAGCGAACAGGAUUAGAUACCCUGGUAGCGACUGA